GGGGUGAAAUGUACCUAGACAUUUAUGAGAUUCUCCUUAGACUUUAUAAUCUAUAUCAAAUGUGCUAUUGAAGUCAACAAUAAGACAGAUGUACAUUUUGUACUUCAUACAGUAUAUUUGUUGGAAAUACUUGUUCAUCAAAUUUACUACAGAUUUAUUGUUUCAGAAAAAUAUUAAUAGGGUGCUGUUAAAGAGCAGUCAUAUGUUCAAAAGCAUUUACAUUUACUAAAUUUGCUCUGUCAUCUUAUAAAAACCAAUUUUUGACAGUAUUAUAACACAUUGAUGAAGGUUGAUUAUUUUUUGGAAAAAAAAUGUGUGUGUGUGUGUCUGUGUGUGUGUGUGUGUAUGUUGCAGA